rnacentral:lncRNA from 1 species
AGGCAGGUAAAAAUAUCUCACUUUGACAGAUCAUGCAAAGAGGAACACAAAAUACAAAACAUCAGCUUGUACAGGCACUCCAUAUGCUAUACAUAUUGUGGUUUAGCACCAAGCUUUAAAAUAUAAAUCACAACCAGAUUGCAACAUAAACACCAAGUAAAACUACAUGUUCCUAUGUCUUUACUAGUUUUUGCUUACCAGGUAUGGCUAUGAAAGAUUACAAUGACUUUUUGACAAACACAACAGAACUCACAGAUAAAAAUGCACUUGGUUCCUUCAAAGCGUCCCCUUCCGUAGGUGCACGGGAACUCCAUGUCAGCUGUUCGUCUACUCAAACAUAUCAUUUUGAGCUGCCACCACUCUUGGGAAUACCGUGUAUGUGUAUCUGUGCACACUUAAGAGGGCACAUUGUUAAAAUAUUGUAUUUUUUUUUUUGAGACAGAGUCUUGCUCUGUUGCCCAGGCUGGAGUGCAGUGGCGUGAUCUUGGCUCACGGCAACCUCCACCUCCCGGGUUCAAGCAAUUCUCGUGCCUCGGCCUCCCAAGUAAGUGGGACUACAGGCAUGCCCCACCAUGCCCAGAUAAUUUUUGUGUUUUUAGUAGAGACAAGGUUUCUCCAUAUUGGCCAGACUGGUCUUGAACUCCUGGCCUCAAAUGAUCUGCCCACCUCAGCCUCUCAACAUGCUGGGAUUAUAGGCUUGAGCUACCAUGCCCGGCCAAAAGGGCACAUUUUUGCCUUUCGGAGAAAAUAUGCUACAAUAAGCUGAAACCCCAGAGGAUCUGUACUCUAACUUUCUCACAUAACUAGCUAUGUGACCUUGGGUACCUCUCUCACCUUGCUGAACCUCAAUUUGCUCCUCUGCAAACUAGAGUUAGAAAAUUACCCUCCUGUGGGGUGUUGUGGGGCUUAAAUGAGAUAAACCUAGUACAGCCCUCAAAAAUAUGGCAUUCUGCCCCCAUUCCUUCUUUUAAUUUUUAACGUGCAACCAUUCAAAAAUAUUUCAUUUCUCUUUCUUUUGAGGAUGUCUUUUGCCACCACUUUUUUAAUAGCCAAAGGAAAUUUGGGGUUAAAGACGAUGGGUGUGCAAGCUGCAUAAUUUUCUAUCCACUCUAAACAUGUUUGAGUAAGAAAUAAUAAGGCAGAAUUUCCAGGGUGGUUCAGACACUGGUUCUGGAGAAAGCUGUUAAAGAGGCUCAGAAGAGAAGUUUUCUGAGAAGGGAUAGCCCCUGUGGAACAGCUGUCAUGCCUCUCAAGGUGACCCCUGGAAGGGGACAGCAACUAUUGGCAUGGAUAAAGUCUCUGCACAGUUAUACAGCUCCAUUCCAGGAGGGCUCAAGAGUCCUUUUCAAUUCUCCAGUGGAACCCUAGCCACGUGUCUCUUCAGUUGUCAAUCACUUGACUCGGAAAGCUUGAAUUACAAUGAGUCUGAGUAAACUUGAUGUAAUCCAGGCCUGUGUUAGACCCACUCCUCAAUUUGCCUUUGCCUGGUGCUGUCUCUGUGGUGGUAUCUGAGUCCGUUCGAGAGAAGGAUUGGCUAUCACCUAACAUCUGAUCCUCUGAUAUCUCGCUGGCCCCAUGUGUGUUCAGGCCCUGCUCAUCUGUCUUGAGCUGGCCAUGGCUCCGGUUGACGGCUACAUAGUCCCUGCUACUCCCCUCUGCCGCAGCCUGCAUGUGCACAAUAUCAAGUGGAAAGCAGUAGAGUUUGUCUACUUCUCUAUCAUCCUCUUGGCUGAAGACAACUGGGGAUUUCAUCUCCUUGGGGGUUUGGGAUGGUGACUUCAAGACAGAUCCACCACCAGCAUCUUUUGGCUUCCUUUUCAGAACCUCCCAGGGAGACUCCUUCCCUGGUUUCUUGGCAUCCCCCUUGGGGUUCUCUGGCCUCAGCUUAAUUUCUGAGAAGGAAGGGAGGGACCUAUUGAUGAGCUCCCGGUGCUGGCAGUGUUGUCGUACGGCCUUGUAGAUCUUGGCAUAGAACCAGAGCAUGAGCAAGGUGGGCAGGUAGAAGUUGAUGAUGGCAGUCAUGACCUUGAACCAGGUGACAUCAUAGAAGUCUGUCUCACACUUGUCCUCUCGGCGCACCGAGGUCUGCUGCAUGAAGUGAUUCCAGCCUAGAAUGGGAAUAACCCACAGAAAAGAGAGAAACCAGGCCCCCAGAAUGGUGGCCGAG